UACGUAGGGUGCGAGCGUUAAUCGGAAUUACUGGGCGUAAAGGGCGCGUAGGCGGCACGGCAAGUCAGGAGUGAAAGCCCUGGGCUCAACCCGGGAACUGCUUUUGAAACUGCCGAGCUAGAGUGCGGAAGGGGCAACUGGAAUUCCCAGUGUAGCGGUGAAAUGCGUAGAUAUCAAGAGGAACACCUGCGGCGAAGGCGGGUUGCUGGGCUGACACUGACGCUGAGGCGCGAAAGCUAGGGGAGCGAACGGG
rnacentral:rRNA from 1 species